AGGCGUGGUGGCGGGCGCCUGUGAUCCCAGCUACUCAGGAGGCUGAGGCAGGAGAAUCGCUUGAACCCAGGAGGCGGAGAUUGCAAUGAGC
ensembl:miRNA